rnacentral:rRNA from 1 species
CACGUAGGGGACGAGCGUUGUCCGGAUUCAUUGGGCGUAAAGCGUGCGUAGGUGGUGCGGCGAGUCGGCUGUGAAAUCUCCGGGCUUAACCCGGAAACUGCAUUGGAAACUACCUUGCUAGAGGUUUUGAGGGGGGACUGGAAUUCUCGGUGUAGCAGUGAAAUGCGUAGAUAUCGAGAGGAACACCAGUGGCGAAGGCGAGUCCCUGGAAAACACCUGACACUGAGGCACGAAAGCUAGGGGAGCAAACAGG